GCCGGUAUCGCUCAGUUGGUAGAGCAGGGGACUCAAAAUC
rnacentral:tRNA from 7 species